rnacentral:pre_miRNA from 1 species
AUGGAGUGAACGUCUCAGUGGGUAUCAGAGCUGAUUUAAGUGGUAAACACCUGCUGAACGUUUCCUCUUCCAGA